rnacentral:rRNA from 1 species
GACUGCUAUCAGAGUGGGACUAAGCCAUGCGAGUCAACAUAGCAAUAUGUGGCAUACGGCUCAGUAACACGUAGUCAACAUGCCCAGGGGACGUGGAUAACCUCGGGAAACUGAGGAUAAACCGCGAUAGGUCAUCACUUCUGGAAUGGGUAAUGACUUAAACCUAUAUGGCCCCUGGAUUGGACUGCGGCCGAUCAGGCUGUUGGUGAGGUAAUGGCCCACCAAACCUGUAACCGGUACGGGCUCUGAGAGGAGGAGCCCGGAGAUGGGCACUGAGACAAGGGCCCAGGCCCUAUGGGGCGCAGCAGGCGCGAAACCUCUGCAAUAGGCGAAAGCUUGACAGGGUUACUCUGAGUGAUUUCCGUUAAGGAGAUCUUUUGGCACCUCUAAAAAUGGUGCAGAAUAAGGGGUGGGCAAGUCUGGUGUCAGCCGCCGCGGUAAUACCAGCACCCCGAGUGGUCGGGACGUUUAUUGGGCCUAAAGCAUCCAUAGCCGGUUCUACAAGUCUUCCGUUAAAUCCACCUGCUUAACAGAUGGGCUGCGGAAGAUACUAUAGAGCUAGGAGGCGGGAGAGGCAAGCGGUACUCGAUGGGUAGGGGUAAAAUCCGUUGAUCCAUUGAAGACCACCAGUGGCGAAGGCGGCUUGCCAGAACGCGCUCGACGGUGAGGGAUGAAAGCUGGGGGAGCAAACCGGAUUAGAUACCCGGGUAGUCCCAGCUGUAAACGAUGCAGACUCGGUGAUGAGUUGGCUUAUUGCUAACUCAGUGCCGCAGGGAAGCCGUUAAGUUUGCCGCCUGGGGAGUACGGUCGCAAGACUGAAACUUAAAGGAAUUGGCGGGGGAGCACCACAAGGGGUGAAGCCUGCGGUUCAAUUGGAUUCAACGCCGG